GAUGAAGAACGCAGCGAAAUGCGAUACGUAGUGUGAAUUGCAGAAUUCAGUGAAUCAUCGAAUCUUUGAACGCACAUUGCGCCCUUUGGUAUUCCAAAGGGCAUGCCUGUUCGAGCAUCAUUUGUACCCUCAAGCUUUGCUUGGUGUUGGGCGUCUUUUGUCUCCAGUUCGCUGGAGACUCGCCUUAAAGUCAUUGGCAGCCGGCCUACUGGUUUCAGAGCGCAGCACAAGUCGCGCUCUUAGCCAGCCAAGGUCAGCGUCCAGCAAGCCUUUUUUCAACCUUUGACCUCGGAUCAGGUAGGGAUACCCGCUGAACUUAAGCAUAUCAAUAAGCGGAGGA
rnacentral:misc_RNA from 1 species